rnacentral:rRNA from 1 species
UACGUAGGGUGCGAGCGUUGUCCGGAAUUACUGGGCGUAAAGAGCUCGUAGGUGGUUUGUCGCGUUGUUCGUGAAAACUCACAGCUUAACUGUGGGCGUGCGGGCGAUACGGGCAGACUGGAGUACUGCAGGGGAGACUGGAAUUCCUGGUGUAGCGGUGAAAUGCGCAGAUAUCAGGAGGAACACCGGUGGCGAAGGCGGGUCUCUGGGCCGAAACUGACGCUGGAGGCGACGAAAGCUAGGGGAGCAAACAGG